UACCACUGCGGACUAUGAGGCUAAAAUCAAAAGGCCAGCAGUACCAAGUGUUGGUGACGCUGAAGGGAAACUGGAAGUCUCCACAUUGCUAGUGGGAAAGGAAAGCUUCACCACUUUGGAAAGCCGUUUGCCAUUCUCUUAGAAACUGAAAUAAGUAUUUAUCACAUGAAGCAGCAAUCCCAUUCCCGGUUAUUUACAAAAGGAAAGUGAAAAACACAGGUACUCAGGUCACCAGAGUUGGGAGGAUGCGCACGUGCUGUCCCCUUUCCUUGGACCAGGAGCCUCUGAGGUGCCAGUACUCAAGAUUGACUAAAAAUUGACUGAAUUUAGUGUAAGAUAAGCUCAGUGUCAGCAACACUUUUUUAGUUUAUGUAUUUUCAUUUAUCUCCACAGUAACCAGAUCACAACCCGGGUUCAUCUGCACGGAGUUCCCAGGGACACCAGGCUCAGAUCUUCCUCCAGAAGCUGAAGGACUCCAUGUCCCACAGCAGCACAUGCUGUUUCCAUGGCAGCGCUUUCUUCAGCUACCUUGUAACAUCUGUUGCCUGGAUGGGUCCUUAAUCCGAGCCCUGCAGGGAAACGGGAGACGCCAUUCGCCCCACCAGUCCCAUCGCCAUCCCACCCCCGGAGCUCCUAGACCCGGUCCCGGUCCUGGCGCCCCUCUCAGCACUGCUCUCGGGUGUAGCUGUCAAGGGCCAGUUUCUGGACUUCUCAGCACUGCAAGCAGCGGAGCUGGAGAUGUUGCCGGCUGGAGUUCUCUCCCCUCCACCUUCCUUCUUCUAUUCUCCAGCCUCCUGCCGCAGCCCCCUGCCUGCCCCUCGCUUCAGGCGCGCCAGGAUCUGCCAGCCCACGCAGAUUUUUAUGCUGCUGCUCUGCAGCCUGGUGGCCAGAGUGGCCUCCUCCCCUCAGGGGCUGCCAGCAGAUGCUUCCACCCAUGGUGGACUCCCAGCUGCCUGUGGUGAACUUUGGCUCCCUGCCACCACCUCCCCUUUCUCUGUUACCUGUGGGUCCUGCUCUGCAGCCCCCCGGUUUGGCUGUGCAGCCUCCACCGACUUCUGGGGUGCUGCCUUUACCUGCCAGGCCCUUCUCCGCUAGCUUGGGGCAAGCCGAGCUUCACCCAGUAGAACUAAAGUCGUUCCAGGAUGAUCGAAAACUGAGCAGCAACCUCAGGGGAGCCGGGGCAUCAUGUACUCCCCCAGCUGGAAGGUCUUCCUCUGGCCUCAGUUCCCAUCCCAAAGCCCCACCCUCCACUCUAGCGAUGCCUUCUGUGCCCAGCACAUCGACCUUCACCAGCAGGCCUCCCCACCUGACUCCCUACACUGGAUGCCGAAACCUUGGGAGCAGACAGGGCCACCUUCCUGAGAAGGGUCUUCCGACCGACCGGCAGAAGAGCCUGGGUCCCCAGGGGACAAGGAGCCUAGGUUGCCUCCACCCUGCUGAAGGAGUUCCCCUUGCCUGUACCCCCGCACCCCCGGCCUUUUAUGUAAAUUAUCAAUACAUAAGGGGAAAAGGGAUGGGUGGAAGGGGUUGUGGGGCUGGGGCCUCGCUUCCCCUCCUCCCUGCUCCCCUGGUCCCCAUCCCUGGGGCCAUUUGUUUAAAAAAUAUUAAUAAUAAAAUAAUUUUUAAAAUUAAAAAAAUAAAAUCAU